AUUGAACGCUGGCGGCAGGCCUAACACAUGCAAGUCGAGCGGAUGAAGGGAGCUUGCUCCUGGAUUCAGCGGCGGACGGGUGAGUAAUGCCUAGGAAUCUGCCUGGUAGUGGGGGAUAACGUCCGGAAACGGGCGCUAAUACCGCAUACGUCCUGAGGGAGAAAGUGGGGGAUCUUCGGACCUCACGCUAUCAGAUGAGCCUAGGUCGGAUUAGCUAGUUGGUGGGGUAAAGGCCUACCAAGGCGACGAUCCGUAACUGGUCUGAGAGGAUGAUCAGUCACACUGGAACUGAGACACGGUCCAGACUCCUACGGGAGGAAGCAGUGGGGAAUAUUGGAAAAUGGGCGAAAGCCUGAUCCAGCCAUGCCGCGUGGGUGAAGAAGGUCUUCGGAUUGUAAAGCACUUUAAGUUGGGAGGAAGGGCAGUAAGUUAAUACCUUGCUGUUUUGACGUUACCAACAGAAUAAGCACCGGCUAACUUCGU
rnacentral:rRNA from 1 species